GCACAAUGCAAGACAGGGUCCAGCCGUUCUGCCAGGUAUACAGACAUAUGGAGCAGCCCCCUUUGAAGAUCUCCAAGUGAACUUCACAGAAAUGCCAAAGCGUGGAGGUGAUUGAGUGUGGAUCAAAGAUUGGAACACAUCCCCCUUGCGACCACGGUGGAAAGGAGCCCAGACCAUCAUCUUGACCACCCCCCCACAGCUGUAAAGGUAGAAGGAAUCCCAGCCUGGAUCCACCAUAGCUGAAUAAAACCUGCAGCCUCUGAAACCUGGGAGGUAUUGUUGUCCUAAGCCAGACCUGAUCACCUGUCUGGAGCAAGGAAAAAAACCCUUGACUAUGAAGAGACAUGAGAUGAUUGCCAAACCCCCAAGCAAUACUGCAGUGGCACUAUCUCGGCUCACUGCAAGCUCCGCCUCACGGGUUCACGCCAUUCUCCUGCCUCAGCCUCCCGAGUAGCUGGGACUACAGGCUCCUGCCACCGCGCCCAACCUCCGCCUCCCAGGUUCCAGUGAUUCUAGUGCCUCAGCCUCCUGAGUAGCUGAGAUUACAGGUGUGCACCACCACACUUAGCUAAUUUUUGUAUUUUUAGUAAAGGCAGGCUUUCACCAUGUUGACCAGGCUACCUUUUAUUUGUUUGUAUAUUUCUUUCUUCCUUUCCUUCUUUAUUUCUAGAAGCAUGUUCGUUUUAAAAUAUAAAUUAUGAAUAUUAAAAAUCUUCUUUUCUCUGUCUUUGAUUACUAUUAUGGCUGAUUUAAAAAUAAGUUUUGGAAGAAGAGAAAACGGCAGGGCGGCAGCGGCUGUAGGUUGUGCGGCGGCAGCGGCUCUUCCCUGGGUGGACGAUGGACAGCCAGAGCAGGAAGGUGGUGGUGUGCGACAAUGACACUGGGUUUGUGAAGUGUGGAUAUGCAGGCUCCAACUUUCCAGAACACAUCUUCCCAGCUUUGGUUGGAAGAUCUAUUAUCAUGUAAUGCCCAACCUUGUUUUUUCCUUUAUUUACCUAGCCUUGUUUCUCCCUUAGCUAAGAGAACCAGACAAACUCCAUCUUGGCUCUUUCACUGGCAGCCCCUUCCUCAAGGACUUAACUUGUGCAAGGUGACUCCCAGCACAUCCAAGAAUGCAAUUAACUGAUAAGAUACUGUGGCAAGCUGUAUCCGCACUCCCCAAGAAUUCAUCUGAUUGAUAACGCCCAAAGCCCCGCGUUUAUCACCUUGUAAUAGUCUUAAAGCCCCUGCACCUGGAACUGUUUACUUUCCUGUAACCAUUUACCUUUUAACUUUUUGACUACUUAACUUCUGUAAAAUUGUUCUAACUAGACACCCCUCCCCUUCCUAAACCAAGGUAUAAAAGUUAAUCAAGCCCCUUCCUCUGGGCCGAGAGAACUUUGCACGUUAGCCGUCUCUCGGUCGCCGGCUAAUAAAGGACUCUUAA
rnacentral:lncRNA from 10 species